rnacentral:ribozyme from 1 species
AGUCACUUUCGCGGAGAAAGUACAGAGAACGGGAGCCUAGGAACGACCCCAAGAAUUGCUGUGCUGACUGACGGGUU